AUUGGACGGGGUCAACAGCCAGAGAGAAGAAGAAGAGGAAGAGGAGUGAGGCUGCGUGGCGGAGGAGUUGGGAGGCAAAACAGAGGAAGAGGCAGAAGAGGCUGAGGACAUGUGUCCUGAUGAGAUAAGAGCCACACUUGUAGACCACGUUCUCAAUCAUGGGCUUACAAUGGCCGAGGCUGGUCGAAGGGUGCAGCCAAAUGUUGGGAGAACAGCUGUGUCCUCAAUCAUUCAGACUUUUCGUCGACAGAACAGGACUGCAAUACAACUUCACAGGGGUGGCAGAGGGCCCCUUCUCACACCUGGACAGGAGGAGGCUAUUUGCACCAUGGUUGUAGAAAACAAUGCCAUAAGACUAAGGGAGAUAAAGAGUGCCAUUAUAGAGGACAACAACAUCUUUGAAAACAUCCAAACAGUCAGCAACUCAACCAUUGACAGGGUGCUGAAAAGACACCAAAUGAAUAUGAAGCAGCUGUACACUGUUCCAUUUGAAAGAAAUGGUGAAAGAGUGAAGGAGCUGCGCUACCAGUAUGUAUAGCGUAUAAUGGAACUGGAAGCAAGUGAACCACCGCACAACUUCAUCUACAUGGAUGAGGCUGGCUUCAACCUAACGAAACGCAGAAGGCGUGGUCGAAAUAUCAUCGGCCACAGAGCUACAGUUGAUGUGCCAGGCCAACGGGGCGGGAACAUAACCAUGGGUGCUGCUAUCUCUGAGAAUGGUGUGCUAACGCAUAUUCCCAUUAUUGGGCCAUACAAAACAGAGCGUCUUGUCACCUUUUUAGACACUCUCUACAGGGAUCUCAUCCCUGAACAAGAGAGGGGUCAGAUUGGAGAUGACUUGCCAAAGUACGUAAUAGUUUGGGACAAUGUCAGUUUCCAUCACUCCAACAUCAUCAGGCAAUGGUUUGCGACCCACAACAGGAUGCUGAUGGAGUUCCUCUCACCCUACUCCCCAUUCCUUAACCCCAUUGAGGAAUUUUUCUCAGCAUGGAGAUGGAAAGUAUAUGAUCGCCAGCCACAUACACAGAUGACCCCUCUGGCUGCCAUGGAUACAGCGUGUGAUGACAUCACAGCAGAUGCCUGCAGAGGCUGGAUAAGACACUCUAAAAGAUUCUUUCCACGCUGCAUCGCAAGAGAAGAUAUUCGUUGUGAUGUGGAUGAGAAUUUGUGGCCCAACAGACAGGAACGUCAGGAGGUGUAGGAAGACUGCACUGUAAUUCCUACAGCACUGCAUGUACAGUUUUCCCUAAGGAGAUUGUCCUAUGUUCACAUUUCUACUUUUGUUUUUUUCUUUUUUUCUUUGUGCUAUGUAGUGCUGUCUUUUUCUUUUCUGUAUCGCAAUGACAUGGUCUGUCAACAAAUUACAGUACAAAC